CAGCAGCCGCGGUAAUACGUAGGGUGCGAGCGUUAAUCGGAAUUACUGGGCGUAAAGCGUGCGCAGGCGGUUCGUUAAGACAGAUGUGAAAUCCCCGAGCUUAACCUGGGAACUGCAUUUGUGACUGGCGAGCUAGAGUAUGGCAGAGGGGGGUAGAAUUCCACGUGUAGCAGUGAAAUGCGUAGAGAUGUGGAGGAAUACCGAUGGCGAAGGCAGCCCCCUUGGCCAAUACUGACGCUCAUGCACGAAAGCGUGGGGAGCAAACAGGAUUAGAUACCCGGGUAGUCCCUGUCUCUUAUAC
rnacentral:rRNA from 1 species